AGAGUUUGAUCAUGGCUCAGGAUGAACGCUGGCGGCGUGCUUUACACAUGCAAGUCGAACGGCAGCGCGGGGGCAACCCUGGCGGCGAGUGGCGAACGGGUGAGUAAUGUAUCGGAACGUAUCCUGUAAUGGGGGAUAACCAGUCGAAAGAUUGGGUAAUACCGCAUACGCACGAGAGUGGAAAGUGGAGGAUCGCAAGACUUCACGUUAUAGGAGCGGCCGAUAUCUGAUUAGCUAGUUGGUGGGGUAAAGGCCUACCAAGGCGACGAUCAGUAGCAGGUCUGAGAGGAUGAUCUGCCACACUGGGACUGAGACACGGCCCAGACUCCUACGGGAGGCAGCAGUGGGGAAUUUUGGACAAUGGGCGAAAGCCUGAUCCAGCCAUGCCGCGUGCAGGAAGAAGGCCUUCGGGUUGUAAACUGCUUUAGUUCGGGAAAAAGGGGUGCGGGGUUAAUACCCUCGUGCUUUGAUGGUACCGAAGAAUAGACGAUUCGCC
rnacentral:rRNA from 1 species